rnacentral:lncRNA from 1 species
UUUAGACAAUAGAUGUGCCUGCCAUGGGACUUUGAAAGUGUCUCUACGAAUGGGGAAAAUGAUAACUUUUCAUACAGGGAGCUUUUUUCAUCUGAAAGGCACAAAAAAGUUAAAAAAUGCAGUUCCACUUGGUCUUUCUCAUGAUACUAAAUAAAUCAGAUUUAUAAUGUUGUAAACUUGUAAUUGUACACACAUAACCUAUUGGAAGAUACCCAAGAUAAUGGUGUAGUCUCAUGAAUUCAUUAAUCCUUAUAUGCUUGGGCUUGCUCUUUAGGACUUUUUUUUUGGCCUUUGAGUAUAGUUGCUCUCCUUAUGGUGUCAUAUUCAUGCCUUUAAUGAGCUUUGGCCUUUGAGAUAAAGUAGCCAUUGUGUAUCAUGAAACUUAAUAUAUUGGGCUCGAGUUUAGUUAGAUGAUCAAGUAUCAAAAUUAUUGUUGUCCUGAAGAGAUUCUCUACUAUUAUAUGUGAAAUAGCAACUUUGCGUCCAAGCCUAGAUCCUAGAUGAAAAUUGACAGUCCACACAUGUUUUUCUUUUUUCGCUUUUGUUCGCUCCUCUCAUCUUAGGUAUGCAUAUAUUUAGUGCAUUGCAAACAAGCAUGCAUAAGUUCUAUGCACCCUUGCUUGAACCUCAGGUUGGCUAGGUCCUAAACCUAGCAUUGCCUGUGCGUGGAUCAAAAAUUAGACUAUUAUAAGAGAAAGAAGUGAAUGAGGGAAAUAAACUAAUGCUAUAAGUUCAUUUUUUUUAAAAAAAGAAAUCAUACCAAAAUGAUUCAUUUAAUUGGUAUCCAUGCGAAAUUCCUGAUGGGGAAAUGCCCUUUUAUUUUUCUUGAUAUCCUCCAUUCCUUGCAUAUGUUGGUUAUUAGAAACUUAGAAUCUUCAAUGAUAACAAGAAAAACUCAAAAACAUUUGUCAUUUCAACUUAAGAAUAUCCUUAUCCAUUUUCCUAGGUCUUGGAUGAAAUUAGCUCAUUUUUUAACCUUUUCCUAAUGUAUCCAUAAUUGCUUCUUGAUGCUUCUGAAAGCAAACCAUUUCAUUUGCUAGACCAACCUCCAUCUUGAAGACCUCAUACAUCAUGAGUCCCUUGUUGUUGUAAUUUGUGUUUCCGAGCACUUAGAUGCAUUGCAUGUGCUUCUUUAUUAGCAUGUUCAGAUACAUGGACCAUUAAAGUAAUCCACAAUACUAGAUAAUUUUCAAACAUUAAGGGGUUAUUUGGGUNACCAUGCAGCUUAUCCAUCUAACGGUGGCAUGUGAGAAGGUGUGAGAAUGGGAAGUAUUGGGGGUAGAAAAUCAUGGGAUCAAGAGAAACCACAAAACAAACAAUCCUUGACAAGAAAACCAUAGAACAAACAAUCCUUGAAAUUUUAGAUACUAGAUUCCAUUAAAAAGGUGAUCUUCUUAUCCUAAAUUUUAGAUAUUUUUGAAUUUCAAAAGACUCUCCAAUCAGCUGGUUCUCUCCUUUCCUACUUCAUCACCCCCCAAUAUUUCCUCCAACGCACUUGCACCAACAUCCAAAUAGGGCCUAAAUUUGAAUGUCUAAAGCUACUAUAAUUUUGGAAACAUUAUGAAGACUUUUUGUAACCAUCCGAGACCUCACCAAAAAAGGCUACCCGGAAGUUAUGAGUAUCCAAGAUCCUCCUAGUGAAUGACUAAUGUGGGAUUAAGCACACACCCAUGCGAACCCUCACACACUCCCCCCAUUUAGCAUCUUUGCCAUGUCAAGGGUUCAAAUCCAGUCAAAUCCAAUCCCAGACGCCACCGUAGACCUAUGGUUAGCCCCAAAAGGGCCCAUGUUGUAGUUUUUUCUUAGUCCACAUAGGCUAUUGGCUGGGUUUGUUUUGAUACUAUUUGUAACAACUUAGGGUCUUACCAAAAAGGCGCGCCUUGGUCUUGUAUAACAUGAGGGAUGUGGGACUAAAAACAUGUCCCCAUGAGUCUUCACACAGUCCCCUCAUUUAAGCCAUAGAGUCCUCGCUAAAAUAGGAGGUCUAAAUUCAAUUAAAUCUAAUCACAAAUACCAUGAUUGAUCCAUAGUUAGCCUCAAAAGAGCCCAUGCUGCAGUGUCCUCUAAUCCC